rnacentral:misc_RNA from 1 species
UCAAAACAGGGCAACUGAGCAC